UACGUAGGGUGCAAGCGUUAAUCGGAAUUACUGGGCGUAAAGGGCGCGUAGGCGGAAUGGCAAGUCGGUCGUGAAAACUUUCAGCUUAACUGGGAGCUUGCGGUCGAUACGGGCAUCACUGGAGUUCGGCAGGGGAGACUGGAAUUCAAGGUGUAGCGGUGAAAUGCGCAGAUAUCUUGAGGAACACCGGUGGCGAAGGCGGGUCUCUGGGCCGAUACUGACGCUGAGGAGCGAAAGCGUGGGGAGCGAACAGG
rnacentral:rRNA from 1 species